GACGAACGCUGGCGGCGUGCUUAACACAUGCAAGUCGAACGGAAAGGCCCUUCGGGGUACUCGAGUGGCGAACGGGUGAGUAACACGUGGGUGAUCUGCCCUGCACUUUGGGAUAAGCCUGGGAAACUGGGUCUAAUACCGAAUAGGACCACGCGCUUCAUGGUGUGUGGUGGAAAGCUUUUGCGGUGUGGGAUGGGCCCGCGGCCUAUCAGCUUGUUGGUGGGGUAAUGGCCUACCAAGGCGACGACGGGUAGCCGGCCUGAGAGGGUGACCGGCCACACUGGGACUGAGAUACGGCCCAGACUCCUACGGGAGGCAGCAGUGGGGAAUAUUGCACAAUGGGCGCAAGCCUGAUGCAGCGACGCCGCGUGAGGGAUGACGGCCUUCGGGUUGUAAACCUCUUUCAAUAGGGACGAAGCGCAAGUGACGGUACCUAUAGAAGAAACACCGGCCAACUACGU
rnacentral:rRNA from 1 species